GAUGAACGCUGGCGGCGUGCCUAAUACAUGCAAGUCGAGCGAACAGAUGAGGAGCUUGCUCCUCUGACGUUAGCGGCGGACGGGUGAGUAACACGUGGAUAACCUACCUAUAAGACUGGGAUAACUUCGGGAAACCGGAGCUAAUACCGGAUAAUAUAUUGAACCGCAUGGUUCAAUAGUGAAAGACGGUUUUGCUGUCACUUAUAGAUGGAUCCGCGCCGCAUUAGCUAGUUGGUAAGGUAACGGCUUACCAAGGCAACGAUGCGUAGCCGACCUGAGAGGGUGAUCGGCCACACUGGAACUGAGACACGGUCCAGACUCCUACGGGAGGCAGCAGUAGGGAAUCUUCCGCAAAGGGCGAAAGCCUGACGGAGCAACGCCGCGUGAGUGAUGAAGGUCUUCGGAUCGUAAAACUCUGUUAUUAGGGAAGAACAAAUGUGUAAGUAACUAUGCACGCCUUGACGGUACCUAAUCAGAAAGCCACGGCUAACUACGUG
rnacentral:rRNA from 1 species